rnacentral:rRNA from 1 species
UACGGGGGGGGCAAGCGUUGUUCGGAAUUACUGGGCGUAAAGGGCUCGUAGGCGGCCAACUAAGUCAGACGUGAAAUCCCUCGGCUUAACCGGGGAGCUGCGUCUGAUACUGGAUGGCUUGAGUUCGGGAGAGGGAUGCGGAAUUCCAGGUGUAGCGGUGAAAUGCGUAGAUAUCUGGAGGAACACCGGUGGCGAAGGCGGCAUCCUGGACCGAUACUGACGCUGAGGAGCGAAAGCCAGGGGAGCAAACGGG